GGGGUUGUGGCUCAGAGGUAGAGUGUUCACCUAGCAUGUGUGAGGCAUUGGGUUCGAUUCUCAACACCA
rnacentral:tRNA from 1 species